rnacentral:sRNA from 2 species
GCCCAUUCCGUAAUAGGGCAAGGGCAGCCCGUUGGGGGAAACCCUCCAGUCCUAAUCAGACACAGCGGCCAAGCCACAACAGCCCGGGAUCGUUGUCGUAUUGAAGUCGGGGGUUCUUUGGCCAAAUAACUGCCACACACAAGACGCUAAGUGGGUUGGAAAUGUGGCCAGUUGUUGAUCGAAGCGACUCCAAAGAUCGUUGGAGGGGCCAGAAUGGAGCAGAGGGCCGCAUCUACAUUAUCUACUUAUUCAUUUAUUUCUCUUUCCAAGGACUCCAGGGAGCCAGCCCGGCAAGCUAACUCGAAUCACUAAUUACGGAGCAACUUGUGCAUAUAUUUGAAAUAAAAGAAGAGGAGGAGAAGAAGAAGAAGAAGAACAAGAGGAAGC